rnacentral:rRNA from 1 species
CGUGGGUAACCUGCCCAAGAGAUCGGGAUAACACCUGGAAACAGAUGCUAAUACCGGAUAACAACAGAUGAUGCCUAUCAACUGUUUAAAAGAUGGUUCUGCUAUCACUCUUGGAUGGACCUGCGGUGCAUUAGCUAGUUGGUAGGGUAACGGCCUACCAAGGCGAUGAUGCAUAGCCGAGUUUAGAGACUGAUCGGCCACAUUGGGACUGAGACACGGCCCAAACUCCUACGGGAGGCAGCAGUG